AAGUGAACAUGAUGAAAAAAAAGAUGAGUGAUCAUCAAACAUUACAUAAGAUGUUUGAUAUGAUCAAAUUCUCCAUCGCUUCGUUCUUUCUGAUUCACCU
rnacentral:snoRNA from 1 species